AACGAACGCUAAGCGGGAUGCCUCAAACAUGCAAGUCGUACGAGAAAACACCUUCGGGUGUGAGUACAGUGGCGCACGGGUGCGUAACACGUAGCUAACCUACCCUUUCGCUGGGGAUAACUCCGGGAAACCGGGGCUAAUACCGAAUGAUCUGAACGAGUCUGCGGACUUGUUCGGUAAAGGCGCAAGCCGCGAGAGGAUGGGGCUGCGGCCCAUUAGCUUGAUGGUAGGGUAACGGCCUACCAUGGCUACUAUGGGUAGCUGGUCUGAGAGGAUGAUCAGCCACACUGGAACUGGAACACGGUCCAG
rnacentral:rRNA from 1 species